GGUUUCGUGCACUAGAGCCCAUGAACAGAUUGGCGUCGACGAGAUUCACGGCCGCCCUUACUCGAAGCGUCCUUCCCCAGUGCCGCCGCCCAAUCGGCCGCGCCCUGUGCUCCGGCGCGCCGCAGAACGGCGAGAUGGAGGCCGCGGUGCGAGAGGUCGUGUGCUUCGGUUCCGGAAGCCUCGACGAGGUGGGGAGCAGGCUGGACCGCCUGGGCGUGGCCGUCUCGCCGCACCUGAUUGGGCGCGUGAUCGACUCGUGCGGCGAGACGGGCGGAGGCUCCGGCAGGAGGCUGCUGCGCUUUUUGGCGUGGUGCCGGUCCAAGCACUCCGGGGUGUUAGGGGAGGAGGCGCUCGACAGGGCGAUUGGGGUGCUUGCACGGGCUGGGGACCUUACCGCGAUGAGAAUCGCCAUUGCUGAUGCUGAGAAGGACGGGCGGAGGAUGGCUCCCGAGACAUUUUCCACCGUGAUCGACGCACUUGUCAAGGCAGGCAGGGAGGAUGAGGCUGUUCGGCUGUUUAGAGGCUUGGAGAGGCAGAGAUUGCUGCCUGAGUGCGGCAGCAGGGUAGGAGGCCAUGGCGUAUGGUCGAGCAGCCUUGCCAUGGUCCAUGCAUUGUGUAAGAGAGGCCAUGCUCGCGAGGCACAGGGUGUUGUGUGGCACCAUAAGAGCGAGCUCUCGGCAGAACCCAUGGUUAGCAUCGUUGAGCGUAGCCUCCUCCAUGGUUGGUGCGUUCACGGGAAUGCUAAGGAGGCUCGGAAAGUCCUCAAUGAAAUGAAGUCUUCAGGCGUUCCGUUGGGCUUGCCAUCAUUCAAUGAAUUUCUCCAUUGCGUGUGCCACAGAAACCUUAACUUCAAUCCCUCUGCCCUUGUCCCAGAGGCUAUGGAUAUAUUAACAGAGAUGAGGACCUGUGGUGUUCCCCCAGCUGCUUCUAGUUUCAACAUAUUACUUUCAUGUUUAGGCCGAGCAAGAAGAGUGAAAGAAGCUUAUAGAAUCUUGUACUUGAUGAGAGAAGGAAAAGCAGGGUGCUCCCCUGAUUGGGUUAGCUACUAUCUUGUGGUUAGAGUCCUCUAUUUAACAAGGAGAAUUCUUAGAGGGAAGAGGCUUGUAGAUGCUAUGCUUGAAAGUGGAGUUCUUCCUACUGCUAAGUUUUUCCAUGGUCUUAUAGGCAUCCUUUGUGGAACAGAGGAAGUUGACCAUGCUCUUGAUAUGUUCAAACUUAUGAAGAGGUGUGAGUUAGUGGAUGCUCGUAUAUAUGACCUGCUUAUAGAAAAGCUUUGUAGGAUUGGUAGAUUUGAAAUUGGAAGAGAGCUGUGGGAUGAAGCUACAAAUAGUGGUCUUGUAUUAGGAUGCUCACAAGAUCUGCUCGAUCCCUUGAAGACAGAGGUAUUCAGACCAAUCUGUCCAGCACAAAGAUUAAGCCCUCAGAACUAUAAACGCUUGGCCUGGAAAAAGAAGGUUACUGCUGUUGGAGUCAAAAAGGACAUUGCUAUCUCAGCCUCAAGGAAGAAGUCGGGAGUGUAGGAAGCUCGUGCAUCACAAAAGCAAGAAGGCUUGGUGUUCCUACUCCUGUACUUUAUGCUGUGGAUCCACUUCUGCAUACUUUGACAGUAUGUGGAUGGCUUGUCUGUCAAGGAUAUACUUCUUGGUUUUGGUUCAGAUGGGGUUAACGAGGAACGCCUGGAUGAUAUUAGUAUCACACAGAUAGGAAACGUCGUCGGCAAACUACAUGAUGGAGGCCUUGUUCAUGGUGAUUUAGAACUGUAACAAUUAAUUGGUGGUUCUUAUUGAUUUCGGUCUGAGUUUUAUAUAAAUAAUUCCCGAGGGCGAGGACAAAGCGGUGGACCUAUAUGUGCUAGAGAGAGCUUUGAUCUCCAUGCAUUCGUCCCGUGGGGAUGUGGUGAGGAGACUGCAUAAAUUGGCAUCCAAGUUGUCUUUUGCUGAUUAUAUGCAUACAUUGAUUCCUUUAUUCGGUGACUUUAUUUUGGGGAGGCCAAUGACGUAUACGGGUUACGGUUACAUAAGCAGCCAACAAUAUUGGAUUCAUCAGUAAUUGAAAUGUCUGGUCAAUAUUUGGGUUUGCUUGAGCUUGGCUGUUAUUCCGCACUUGGGUCCGACUAAUCUGUGCCAAUGUUUUCUGGCUAUAUACAACACAAAACUAGUCCAUCCGCAUCGUGGAUUUGUUAUUUUUUUCCUUUCGUCCGUGG